rnacentral:rRNA from 1 species
UACGUAGGGUGCAAGCGUUGUCCGGAAUUAUUGGGCGUAAAGAGCUCGUAGGCGGUUUGUUGCGUCGGCUGUGAAAUCCCGAGGCUCAACCUCGGGUCUGCAGUCGAUACGAGCAAACUAGAGUGUUGCAGGGGAGACUGGAAUUCUCGGUGUAGCAGUGAAAUGCGUAGAUAUCGAGAGGAACACCAGUGGCGAAGGCGAGUCCCUGGACAACACCUGACACUGAGGCACGAAAGCUAGGGGAGCAAACAGG